GGACUACUGGGGUAUCUAAUCCUGUUUGCUCCCCACGCUUUCGCGCCUCAGCGUCAGAAAUGGCCCAGCGAGCCGCCUUCGCCACCGGUGUUCUUCCUGAUCUCUACGCAUUCCACCGCUACACCAGGAAUUCCACUCGCCUCUACCAUUCUCUAGCCGGACAGUCCCGCGUGCCGUUCCGGGGUUGAGCCCCGGGAUUUCACACGCGGCUUACCCAGCCGCCUACACGCCCUUUACGCCCAGUGAUUCCGGACAACGCUCGCACCCUCUGUAUUACCGCGGCUGCUGGCAC
rnacentral:rRNA from 1 species